AUGAUAUCUACCAAGAUUUCAAGGUUGUUGAAGGCAGAUUCUUUGAAACCAUGGUCAAUUUCUACAAUUACACAUCCAUAAGGACCAUACGAACCAUGUGGACCGGCAAGAUGAAAUGGAGGGCCCCACCGCAGACCGUGGAUGCCUUCUACUACUACGAGAGCCUCAACACGAUGUACAUUCCAGCCGGCAUCAUGCAGGAGCCCUUUUACCAAGAUGUCUACCCCACGUACGGC